UACGUAGGUGGCAAGCGUUGUCCGGAUUUAUUGGGUUUAAAGGGUGCGUAGGCGGCCCUGUAAGUCAGUGCUGAAAUAUCCCGGCUUAACCGGGAGGGUGGCAUUGAUACUGCAGGGCUUGAGUAAGGUUGAGGUAGGCGGAAUUGACGGUGUAGCGGUGAAAUGCUUAGAUAUCGUCAAGAACACCGAUAGUGUAGACAGCUUACUAAGCUUUAACUGACGCUGAGGCACGAAAGUGUGGGGAUCAAACAGG
rnacentral:rRNA from 1 species